rnacentral:rRNA from 1 species
AACGAUGAACCACCUUCGGGUGGGGAUUAGUGGCGAACGGGUGAGUAACACGUGGGCAAUCUGCCCUGCACUCUGGGACAAGCCCUGGAAACGGGGUCUAAUACCGGAUACUGACCUGCCAAGGCAUCUUGGCGGGUCGAAAGCUCCGGCGGUGCAGGAUGAGCCCGCGGCCUAUCAGCUUGUUGGUGAGGUAAUGGCUCACCAAGGCGACGACGGGUAGCCGGCCUGAGAGGGCGACCGGCCACACUGGGACUGAGACACGGCCCAGACUCCUACGGGAGGCAGCAGUGGGGAAUAUUGCACAAUGGGCGCAAGCCUGAUGCAGCGACGCCGCGUGAGGGAUGACGGCCUUCGGGUUGUAAACCUCUUUCAGCAGGGAAGAAGCGAAAGUGACGGUACCUGCAGAAGAAGCGCCGGCUAACUACGUGCCAGCAGCCGCGGUAAUACGUAGGGCGCAAGCGUUGUCCGGAAUUAUUGGGCGUAAAGAGCUCGUAGGCGGCUUGUCGCGUCGGUUGUGAAAGCCCGGGGCUUAACCCCGGGUCUGCAGUCGAUACGGGCAGGCUAGAGUUCGGUAGGGGAGAUCGGAAUUCCUGGUGUAGCGGUGAAAUGCGCAGAUAUCAGGAGGAACACCGGUGGCGAAGGCGGAUCUCUGGGCCGAUACUGACGCUGAGGAGCGAAAGCGUGGGGAGCGAACAGGAUUAGAUACCCUGG